GACGAACGCUGGCGGCGUGCCUAAUACAUGCAAGUAGAACGCUGAAGGAGGAGCUUGCUUCUCUGGAUGAGUUGCGAACGGGUGAGUAACGCGUAGGUAACCUGCCUGGUAGCGGGGGAUAACUAUUGGAAACGAUAGCUAAUACCGCAUAAGAGUAGAUGUUGCAUGACAUUUGCUUAAAAGGUGCAAUUGCAUCACUACCAGAUGGACCUGCGUUGUAUUAGCUAGUUGGUGGGGUAACGGCUCACCAAGGCGACGAUACAUAGCCGACCUGAGAGGGUGAUCGGCCACACUGGGACUGAGACACGGCCCAGACUCCUACGGGAGGCAGCAGUAGGGAAUCUUCGGCAAUGGACGGAAGUCUGACCGAGCAACGCCGCAUGAGUGAAGAAGGUUUUCGGAUCGUAAAGCUCUGUUGUAAGAGAAGAACGAGUGUGAGAGUGGAAAGUUCACACUGUGACGGUAUCUUACCAGAAAGGGACGGCUAACUACGUG
rnacentral:rRNA from 1 species